UUUUUUUUAUUUUUAUUUUUAAAGAAAUAAAAAUUAAUAGAAUUAUUUUUAAAGUAUAAUAUUUAGAAAGUUUAUUUAUAGUAACUGAAAAGGAAUUUUUAACUUUUUAAAAUUAAAAAUUAAAAAGUUUAUUAAAGUACCUUUUGCAUCAGGGUUUUUUAAAAAAAUUAAUUUAUAAAUUAAUUUCCCGAAAUUAAAAUGAUCUAUUAAAAUAUAAGUUUUUUGUAAAAUUAUGAAAUUUAAUUUUUUAAUAGAAAUGAAAUUUUUUUCAUAUUUUAAGAUAUCUGGUUAUUAAAAAUGUUGAUUAUACAUCUAAUUAUUAAAAAUAUUUAACUGUAAAAUUUAAAAUAAUUUAGGUUUAUAGGGAUAAGCUUAUAAAAUAAUUUUUAUUAUUUAAUAAAUUAAUUUAUUAAAUAAAGGAAUGAAAUUGUCUUGGUUUUUUAAUAAAAAAUUAAAUCAUAUUAUAGUUUUUAAAAUUUUUUUAAUGAUUUAUUUAAUUUAUAAUAAAUGUAAAUAUUAAAAAAUUAGUAAAAGAUUAAUAUUAUUAAUUAUUUAUAUAAAUUUAUUAUAAAUUAUUAAUUUAAUCUCAAUGAAUUAGGCAAAUAAUUUCUCUGACUGUUUAAUAAAAACAACACAUUUAGAAAAAAAAAUAAAUGCAAAUCCUGCUCAAUGAAUUUUUUAAAUUGCUGUAGUAUUUUGACUAUACAAAGGUAUUGAAAUAAGAUUUUAAUUGAAUGCUAAGAGAAUGGAAUUUCAGGGAAAAGCUUUAUUGAAAUUAAAAUUUGAAGUUUUUUUAAUUUGUGCAGAAACAAUUAUUAAUAUUAAGGACAAGAAGACCCUAUGAAUUUAUUAAAUUUUACUAAUAAAUAAUUAUGUUAAUAAAAUUUUGGCUGGGGCGGCAAAAAAAUAUUAAGAACUUUUUAAUUUCAAAAUGAUCCAUUAUUAAUGAUUAUAUGAAAAAUACUCUAGGGAUAACAGCGUUAUAUUUUUUGAUAGAUCAUAUUGACAAAAAAGUUUGCGACCUCGAUGUUGGAUUAGGAUACUUUUUUAAUGAAGAAAUUAAAAAAAGAAGUUUGUUCAACUUUUAAACUCCUACAUGAUCUGAGUUCAGACCGGCGUAAGCCAGGUUGGUUUCUAUCUUAAUAAUAAUACUAAUUUUUUUAGUACGAAAGGAAUUAAAAAUUUUAAUUUAGUUAAUUAAACUAUAGUUUAUUAAUAUUAA
rnacentral:rRNA from 1 species